rnacentral:lncRNA from 1 species
AGCAAACAUAGUUACCUAAAGCAAGGACAUUUGGUUAUGUGCUUGCUUGCUUAUUGCUCAUUUAUCCCACUAUAUUGUAAGCAACAUGAUGGAAGAAUAAUACAUCUUGAAUUUGAUUCUGAUGGUUUUAACUCAGGAGACAAAGUACAGAAGAAAUUAGCAAUUAAAUCUCUGUGGCAGCAUGGUUCCUGUACAUCUAUGGCCACCUGCCCCCUCAACUCUCUUCAUGGACCUGCCCUCUUGAGAGAGAAAACUCCAAGUCCUUCUAAGCCAAGAAUGUCAGCAUCAGUAAAGAUCUAUGAAAACACACUUUGAUUAGAAACAUAUUUAUUUUGAACCAAACUUCAAGUGAUUUAAAUUUUAUUGGCUGUGUUUGGCAAGAUGGUCACUGCUGAGGUUACAGCUCCUUUGGCUGCUGCCUUUUGAAGUCAGGAUCAGUCCUUGUGGCUGAUGAGGACAGCAGAGCAUUCUGCAUUUCAUCCAUUUUAACUUCCAGGAGAGGAAUUGUGACACAUGGGAUCAUAACUGAAUGUGGUAAAGUUCUCCAUCUUGUCCACUGGAUUGAUUUGGAUUCCUUUGCUGCCAUGACCCACAACAAACGGGAGAGACUUCUGGAAAAGAUUUCAUCAAAUUCUUACAGCCUGACUCACUGCUUCUCCCCUUCUCUCUCCUUUUCCAACCCAAUUCUCUGUAAAACUCUCCCAAGUGUAAAUAAUUUUUCUUAGAUUGUUUAUCUGUCCCUCUAUCUAAUUGAAGAUAUGCCUAGGUUUAUGUGAAUGUGAUGUUGGUGAUUGUUAUUUUAGAUACAUGGAUUUGGAGUGACUUUUGGGAUUUCUUUUUUCUUUUCCUUUUUUUUUUUUUUUACUUAAAUUUUUUUUUAAAAUUCUGGUGUAGUUAACAUACAGUAUUACAUUACUUUCAAGUUUUCUUAUGUUUUUAAUUGGUUGAGUUAAAAAACCAUUAGCAAGUAUUAUUUUUAUAAAAAUAAUGCUAGUGUUACUUUAAGAAAAUUUAUU